AAUAAAUCUGUCCCUCCACAUUGAAUGUAUUCAUUGAUAGGACGACUUAUAAACAAUAUCGGGAGAAUAACACUGAAGAAGCAUAACCGACAAUAUUUGAAACAACGAUUAUUUUCUGCAAAACAGAAAAAUGAGAAAGAUUAAAGUCCGUGUUCUCCCAGGCUGGGGUGGAGGAGGAGGAGGAGGAGGAGGAGGAGGAGGAGGCGGUGGCGGAGGCGG